AAAGGAAUUUGAAACCUGUGUGAGGAAGAAAAAGAAUAGGGACGGGACAACUUGGUGGGGCUAGAGAAGCAGUUCUGUGAUCAACAGACGGCACGAACACUGGUUUGAAAAUACACUUCCAGAUCCCCCCCACCCCCCCAAAAAACUAUUUCAACAACUUUAUUGGAGACUGAAACGGUUGGAUCGACUUUUGCCGUUUUUCCGUCACUGUAGCUCAAACAAUGGACUAUCCGCAGUUUUUACGCUGAGAGAAAACUGUCUGCCUGUGAGUUUUUUUUUUUUUUUUUAAACUUCGGACUGGAGAUAAAACGUCAGUAGGCAGUAAGUAGUAAACAGUGGGAGUGAGCAGAAACAAUCCUAGGACGGUAUCGGUGUAACGUUUUGAAAUUGUUUUUCGCAACAUAAAAUGAGAAUCGGGGAAGGAGAGGAGUGAUAGCGAGUGGAAGAAAUACCUGUGGAUUUUAAAUCACGAGCAGUCGGAAGAACAUCCGCUAAACUUUUCAGUUGUACAACAACGAUUUUUUUUUUAACAGAGCCGGUGACAGUUACUGGAAUGCGCUGAUGCGGACUGGAGUCGCAUCCAACAAGUUAAAAGUUGGAACCGUGAAUUCUGCUAGAAGUGCGCUGCUCCAAGGGACAGCUAUGGAGAGCGGGUCACAGGGGCUGGCGCUGGGGAUACUGUUUUUCGUCGCGUUUUUUAGUUUAGGAUCUGCAAGUACUUUGCCAGAGCUGCAGUUCAUCCGUAGCCCCGGUAACGUGACAUCAUCGCUUGGGAAGCCGGUGAAGGUGGUGUGCACACUGCAGGGUUGGGGGGGCGAGGACCCCCCUGAUGUGCUCUGGCAGCGGGACGGACAGCCCCUGGAGUGGGCUGACACCAACCAAAUACAGGUUCCUGUUGCGUCACGCAGCUGGAUGGUCAUCAGCACACUCAGGAUAGAGAAGAUGCAGCUACCUGACAUGGGUUCCUACCGCUGUGCUGUGAUGUCAGAGGGACACCAAACUCUGUCUGUAGCAGGACACGUUCAUCUAGAAGGUCUUCCUCAUUUCUCUGUGGAGCCUCAGCACCAGUCGGUGGUAGCCAAUGUGUCUCUGAGUCUGCACUGUGUGGCCCACGGCCCCCCGGAGCCCGUCAGAGUCAUCUGGCUGCAGGACGGGGCCCCUCUAAACUCUCUGCAGGACCAUGUUGCCCUGUCCCCCUCUACAGUCAAUAUAACAGGUCUGAACAGAACCAGUACCUUCUCCUGUGAGGCACACAACCGUAAAGGAGUGGCUACAUCAGGUUCUGGGACCAUCACAGUCCUGCCAUCCCGGCCCCAGAGAGUCAGGGCUGUAGAAGUCACCAACUCUAGCCUGCUCCUCUCCUGGGAACCUAGCUUUGGAGGAGUCUAUCCUAUAACUCACUGCACCAUACAGGUCAAGCGUUCAGGCGAGGACGUCGGUGUCGGUGGGGUGGAUCACAUGAUCCACAACCAGAAUGUCAACAUCCCACCAGCCAGCCACCUGAUCGGGGAUCUGGAGCCGAAUAGUGGCUACGCAGUGAGGCUGGCCUGCUACACCACCCAGGGGGUGUCAGAUUGGACACACUGGGCCACACUACACACCGCAGAAGGAGUGCCAGACGGACCUCCGGGGAAUGUGAGUGGGGUGUUAAACGGGACAGAAGUGAUGGUCAGCUGGGAGGAGCCAGAUGGAAGGAUCAACGGAGAUCUGCAGGGAUACCUGGUGGAGUACAGCACCCCUAAUAUGGAGCAGGCUGUAGUGGAUACGGGCCUCUACACAGAGCUGUCCGUCAACCUGUCCGUCCCUCUGUCUAACGUGUCCUUCAGGGUGUGUGCCUACACCAAGGCGGGACAGGGGCCAUGGACCCCCCUACACACCCUCACCCUUAUCCCCCCUGCAAUGGGAGAGCUACAAUCCAGAGAUACCUCCUUCCAGCCGCUCUUCUCUUGGCACUGGUGGUAUGUUGUCAUGGCGAUAGCUGUUGCCGUGGCGCUAGCAGUCCUAAUGGCAGUGUACGUGGCCAAACUACGGCGGAAGGAGACACGCUUUGGGGAAGCGUUUGAGCCCAUGAUGGAGAGUGGAGAGCUGGUGGUGAGGUACAGAGCACGACGUACAUACAGCCGCAGGACCACUGAGGCCACAUUGAACACCCUGGGCAUCAGUGACGAGCUGAAACAUAAGCUGCAGGAUGUGAUGGUGGACAGACAUAAACUAACCCUGGGAAAGACUCUGGGAGAGGGAGAGUUUGGCUCCGUGAUGGAGGGAGCAUUAACGCACGAGGAGUCUGUUCUCAAAGUGGCCGUGAAGACCAUGAAGAUUGCUAUCUGUACUCGCACUGAGAUGGAAGACUUCCUGAGAGAAGCUGCUUGUAUGAAGGAGUUUGACCAUCAGAACGUCAUGAGACUGCUAGGUGUGUGUCUACAGACAGUAGAGAGUGAAGGUUACCCCUCCCCUGUGGUCAUCCUGCCCUAUAUGAAACACGGAGACCUACACAGCUACCUGCUCUACUCACGCCUGGGAGACUGCCCCGUGUACCUGCCGUCUCAGAUGCUGGUGAAGUUCAUGGUGGAUAUCGCCAAGGGGAUGGAGUAUCUCAGCAGAAACAACUUCAUCCACAGAGACCUGGCUGCAAGGAACUGCAUGCUGAAUGAGAACAUGAAUGUGUGUGUUGCUGACUUCGGCCUUUCUAAGAAGAUAUAUAACGGAGACUACUACCGCCAGGGUCGCAUCUCUAAGAUGCCCGUCAAAUGGAUCGCCAUCGAGAGCCUGGCGGACCGCGUCUACACCACCAAGAGUGACGUGUGGUCAUUUGGUGUGACUAUGUGGGAGAUAGCAUCGCGAGGCCAGACUCCGUACCCAGGUGUGGAGAACAGUGAGAUAUAUGACUACCUGAGACAAGGAAACCGUCUCAAACAACCUCCAGACUGUCUGGACAGCAUUUAUUCCCUGAUGUUCUCCUGCUGGUUCUUGAGUCCUAAGGACCGUCCUCUGUUUGAGACUCUACGCGGGGAGCUGCAGAAGGCUCUUGAGGACCUGCCGGACUCCCAGGACCCAGAUGAGAUCCUCUACGUCAACAUGGAGGAGUCGAUGGAGCUGGGGGCCGUGGGGGGACGCGACCCGGCCGGGGGCCUGAAGGGCUUGGACUCUGUGGCCACGGUGGAGGUGCACCACACUCAUCCUAGCCGCUAUGUCCUCUGUCCCCAACACGACACCAACCGCCUGCACUCUGACUCCCUGGAGAGUCUCAACCUGGUGUCCUCCUCCUCCGCCACGCUGCCCCUGGGGACGACCCUACAACCCUCCGGCUGCUCCACCCCGACAAGCACGGCAGAGGUACAGGAGGACAGGGGAGGGCCCAGGAGGGUACCCUGGUAGUGAUGAAGGGCUCUACGCUCACCACUGUCACAGAGUCAAUACAGACUGGUCAAUACCAUCAGAACUAUACAAUCCCUCCUGUUGGUAUUCACUGUCACAGUCUUGACAGACAGACUGGACAAUACCAUUUAAUCCCAAUCAAAUCAUUUAGCAAGCCUUUUUUUGCACCAACAUACUCCUACACACACCCAUACACACUCCUUUAGGCAUUCCACGUUGUGAUUGAAAUAGUGGGAUUGUCAAAAUGUAUAUAGCUACGUCCUCACAUCUCCUCCUUCUUAAGCAUACUUCGUAUCAUAAUGAGUCUACAGGCUAUUGGCCCUGAAACCCCUCAGACAGACCAGACAGUAAAGACUAGUUUCCCUCAGACAGUAAAGACUAGUUCCCCUCAGACAGACCAGACAGUAAAGACCAGUUCCCCUCAGACAGACCAGUCAGUAAAGACUAGUUCCCCUCAGACAGACCAGACAGUAAAGACUAGUUCCCCUCAGACAGACCAGACAUUAAAGACUAGUUCCCCUCAGACAGACCAGACAUUAAAGACUAGUUCCCCUCAGACAGACCAGACAGUAAAGACCAGUUCCCCACAGACAGACCAGACAGUAAAGACCAGUUCCCCUCAGACAGACCAGACAGUAAAGACUAGUUCCCCUCAGACAGUAAAGACUAGUUCCCCUCAGACAGACCAGACAGUAAAGACUAGUUCCCCUCAGACAGACCAGACAGUAAAGACAGUUCCCCUCAGACAGACCAGACAGUAAAGACUAGUUCCCCUCAGACAGACCAGACAGUAAAGACUAGUUCCCCUCAGACAGACCAGACAGUAAAGACUAGUUCCCCUCAGACAGUAAAGACUAGUUCCCCUCAGACAGACCAGACAGUAAAGACCAGUUCCCCACAGACAGACCAGACAGUAAAGACCAGUUCCCCUCAGACAGACCAGACAGUAAAGACUAGUUCCCCUCAGACAGUAAAGACUAGUUCCCCUCAGACAGACCAGCCAGUAAAGACUAGUUCCCCUCAGACAGACCAGACAGUAAAGACCAGUUCCCCUCAGACAGACCAGACAGUAAAGACUAGUUCCCCUCAGACAGACCAGACAGUAAAGACUAGUUCCCCUCAGACAGACCAGACAGUAAAGACUAGUUCCCCUCAGACAGUAAAGACUAGUUCCCCUCAGACAGACCAGACAGUAAAGACUAGUUCCCCUCAGACAGACCAGACAGUAAAGACUAGUUCCCCUCAGACAGACCAGACAGUAAAGACUAGUUCCCCUCAGACAGACCAGACAGUAAAGACUAGUUCCCCUCAGACAGACCAGCCAGUAAAGACCAGUUCCCCUCAGACAGACCAGACAGUAAAGACUAGUUCCCCUCAGACAGACCAGACAGUAAAGACUAGUUCCCCUCAGACAGACCAGACAGUAAAGACUAGUUCCCCUCAGACAGACCACCAUUAGCACACAUUAGGCAAGUCCUUGUCCACACAAACUGCAUGCAGGACAAUCAUCAGUACCAGCUAAGACCCUGCCAUAUAGUGAUCUACACAGUACCAGCUAAGACUCUGCCAUAUAGUGAUCUACACAGUACCAGCUAAGACUCUGCCAUAUAGUGAUCUACACAGUACCAGCUAAGACUCUGCCAUAUAGUGAUCUACACAGUACCAGCUAAGACCCUGCCAUAUAGUGAUCUACACAGUACCAGCUAAGACCCUGCCAUAUAGUGAUCUACACAGUACCAGCUAAGACCCUGCCAUAUAGUAAUCUACACAGUACCAGCUAAGACCCUGCCAUAUAGUGAUCUACACAGUACCAGCUAAGACCCUGCCAUAUAGUGAUCUACACAGUACCAGCUAAGACCCUGCCAUAUAGUGAUCUACACAGUACCAGCUAAGACCCUGCCAUAUAGUGAUCUACACAGUACCAGCUAAGACCCUGCCAUAUAGUGAUCUACACAGUACCAGCUAAGACCCUGCCAUAUAGUGAUCUACACAGUACCAGCUAAGACCCUGCCAUAUAGUGAUCUACACAGUACCAGCUAAGACCCUGCCUGCCGUAAAGUGUCUACAGUAUACAGUGUCAACUCAGGAGCUAUAACACUGAAUAUGUCCAGCUAACUGAAGAAACCGUCCGGCAAGAAUUGGAGCAGAGGACUGAUCAUAGAAUGUAUGGGACUCAUACAAUGCAUGGCCCUGCAGGUGGUAUAGAGACCAUUACAAUGAAUGGCCCUGCAGGUGGUAUAGAGACCAUUACAAUGAAUGGCCCUGCAGGUGGUAUAGAGACCAUUACAAUGAAUGGCCCUGCAGGUGGUAUAGAGACCAUUACAAUGAAUGGCCCUGCAGGUGGUAUAGAGACCAUUACAAUGAAUGGCCCUGCAGGUGGUAUAGAGACCAUUACAAUGAAUGGCCCUGCCGGUGGUCUAGAGGAUAUUACCAUGAAUGGCCCUGCAGGUGGUAUAGAGGCCAUUACAAUGAAUGGCCCUGCAGGUGGUAUAGAGACCAUUACAAUGAAUGGCCCUGCAGGUGGUAUAGAGACCAUUACAAUGAAUGGCCCUGCCGGUGGUCUAGAGGAUAUUACCAUGAAUGGCCCUGCCGGUGGUAUAGAGGCCAUUACAAUGAAUGGCCCUGCCGGUGGUAUAGAGACCAUUACAAUGAAUGGCCCUGCUGGUGGUAUAGAGACCAUUACAAUGAAUGGCCCUGCAGGUGGUAUAGAGGCCAUUAUAAUAAACGGAUCUCAACACAGACUCUCCCCCAGUCUCCCCCUGUUUUGACCCAUUGUGUUGUAUCUUGUGGAAGAGAAAAGCAACAGGUCUUGUGGAAGAGAAAAGCAAUGGAAUACCUAUUGAUAGGUCAAUUCCAUUGUAAUUCCCAUCAAUUCAGAAAGCAAAACACAUUCCACAUUGUUCUCAUUAAAAAUCAUGUAAGAGAAUUGGACUUGGACUUUCAGUGUACUUUCUGAAUUGAAAUGACCCCAACCCUGGGAGUUUGUCAAUUCAGAGCGUUUUACUUUCGGGGCGUUCAGAGCGACCACUGGACGCUCUGGGCGAUCUGAGCGUUCUGACCCUAACAACAGCAGUCAAACACCCACGCUAACUGGCUAACGUUAGCUAGCUACUUCCAGACACAAAUGAGACAACGCCUCACUCUGACCAUUUUACUCACCCGAGCAAAGCUGGUUAGUCUGUUUUCAUCUUAUCUAGAGCGUCGGUGACUGUAACCGUGCUGCUGACAACAAUUUCAUGACGUGUUUUUUUUUGCCCGACACCGGCCAUAUUCAACCGGUAUUGAGCGUUUGUAAAUUCAUCAGUUAUUCUGCGCGCUGGCACACUCAGACACGAGUACUUUGAAAUCAGAGUAGAUGUUGGUUUAACCCAAAGCUACCGGAGGAUACCUGUGGCUAGCUGAGGGUUACUAUGGCUACCUGAUAGUUACUAUGGCUACCUGAUAGUUACUAUGGCUACCUGAGGGUCACACCACACUCAAACGUACGUGUGGCUCAAAGCACAGUGUUCCUAUUAUAUAAAAUUGUUUAAACGUGUGUAUUCUUUUUGUUGUUUUAUGUAUAAGACCUUUGCACUAAUAUUAACGUGUUCUUGUAUUUUUAGGCUUAUUAUCUUUUUUUGUUGUUUGAAUGACAUUUCAUGUAUUCUUGGGGCUCUGUUCAAUCCGCAUUGUGGAAGUUCAGCUUUACAGCGUGAUUUAAUGAAUUUGUUCUUAACUUACUUGCCUAGUUUAAAUAAAGGUUAAAUAAAAAUAAAAAAAAGAUAUACAAAUAAAUAAAUGUAAGACAAUGUUCCCGCUUUAGCGAAGACUUAACCCACGGUAAACGAUGCAUGUGUCGGCUCGAUUUGAAAUAACCUUUACAUUUGUAUCACUGUAUCUGUAACACUUUUCAGCUUCCCAGAUUGAAUAGAGCCCCUUUGUAGGUCUUUUACAAGGCCUGUUGAACCUGUGAUGAAACCUGGAGGUCUGUGACAGUUUGUUUUUCGUACCAACCUUCUCAAGGCAACAGUCCACAAAGCACCACGUCAGAUGGACAUAUCAUAGUAGGAUGAAUCUUUCCAGCAUUUAUCGGUACAUGUUGUUCAGCGCCAGUAAUGACAUGUUGUACAUGAUCCUACUCUAUCUUUGGUACUUUACAUUCUAACUCAAUGCACCGGUAGACAGCUGGUACGGUAGUGUACCGGUAGACAGCUGGUACAGUAGUGCACAGAUAGACAGCUAGUACGGUAGUGCACAGGUAGACAGCUAGUAUGGUAGUGCACAGGUAGACAGCUGGUACGGUAGUGUACAGGUUGACAGCUGGUACAGUAGUGCACAGGUAGACAGCUGGUACGGUAGUGCACAGGUAGACAGCUGGUACGGUAGUGUACAGGUAGACAGCUGGUACAGUAGUGCACAGAUAGACAGCUAGUACGGUAGUGCACAGGUAGACAGCUAGUAUGGUAGUGCACAGGUAGACAGCUGGUACGGUAGUGUACAGGUAGACAGCUGGUACAGUAGUGCACAGGUAGACAGCUGGUACAGUAGUGCACAGGUAGACAGCUGGUACGGUAGUGCACCGGUAGACAGCUGGUACGGUAGUGCACAGGUAGACAGCUGGUACAGUAGUGCACAGGUAGACAGCUGGUACGGUAGUGCACCGGUAGACAGCUGGUACAGUAGUGCACAGGUAGACAGCUGGUACGGUAGUGCACAGGUAGACAGCUGGUACGGUAGUGCACCGGUAGACAGCUGGUACGGUAGUGCACAGGUAGACAGCUAGUACGGUAGUGCACAGGUAGACAGCUGGUACGGUAGUGCACAGAUAGACAGCUAGUACGGUAGUGCACAGGUAGACAGCUAGUACGGUAGUGCACAGGUAGACAGCUGGUACGGUAGUGCACCGGUAGACAGCUAGUACGGUAGUGCACAGGUAGACAGCUGGUACGGUAGUGCACAGGUAGACAGCUGGUACGGUAGUGUACAGGUAGACAGCUGGUACGGUAGUGCACAGGUAGACAGCUGGUACGGUAGUGUACAGGUAGACAGCUGGUACGGUAGUGCACAGGUAGACAGCUGGUAUGGUAGUGCACAGGUAGACAGCUGGUACAGUAGUGCACAGGUAGACAGCUGGUACGGUAGUGUACAGGUAGACAGCUAGUACGGUAGUGCACAGGUAGACAGCUGGUACGGUAGUGCACAGGUAGACAGCUGGUACAGUAGUGCACAGGUAGACAGCUGGUACAGUAGUGCACAGGUAGACAGCUGGUACAGGUAGACAGCUGGUACGGUAGUGCACAGGUAGACAGCUGGUACGGUAGUGUACAGGUAGACAGCUGGCACAGGUAGACAGCUAGUACGGUAGUGUACAGGUAGACAGCUGGUAGAGUAGUGUACAGGUAGACAGCUGGUACAGUAGUGCACAGGUAGACAGCUGGUACAGUAGUGCACAGGUAGACAGCUGGUACAGGUAGACAGCUGGUACGGUAGUGUACAGGUAGACAGCUGGUACGGUAGUGUAUUAGAAUGAACCUACGUGAAUCAUGUAUUGAUGAGGCUUUUCCUCUCCAUAUAUUCUUUAUUCCAAUAUGUUGUUCGGUACACCAUAAUGCACAUACAUUAGGCUCAAUUAUGCUUUUGCCCCACAACAAUGUUAUGAAUGAGUUAAACUUAUUUUUCACAAUGUGAAUUUGUAAAUACUUUUUUUUUAUUAUUUUGUUUACAACUAACCAAAAUUGUAAUUGGAAAAUAUUAAGACAAAAGAAAAGUGGACUUUUGUAAGUACAGUAUAUAGCAAUUAUAUAGCGAUAUUCCUCCAAGGUACUUAUAUGGAACAUCCCCUAUCCUGACUUACAAAGUCUUAACAUAUCAUACAGUCAUUAGAGACAGUAUUCUGUGAUCUGAUUGGUUUAUAAAUGAUGCUCAUUGGUUUCCAUGUAAUUGACGAGGAGAUGAAGAAUGUGUUACGAUGAUAGUCACAUAUUAUUGUCACUUCUAUGGUUUUUAAAAACAGAUUUUGAUACUUAUUUUGUAUGAAAUAAAUGUGUACAGUGCAUUCCUUA